rnacentral:tRNA from 2 species
GCGCCAAUAGCUCAGUUGGAUAGAGCAACUGCCUUCUAAGCAGUAGGUCGUAGGUUCGACUCCUACUUGGCGUA